rnacentral:rRNA from 1 species
GACGAACGCUGGCGGCGUGCUUAACACAUGCCAGUCGAACGGAAAGGCCCUGCUUUUGUGGGGUGCUCGAGUGGCGAACGGGCGAGUAACACGUGAGUAACCUGCCCUUGACUUUGGGAUAACUUCAGGAAACUGGGGCUAAUACCGGAUAGGAGCUCCUGCCGCAUGGUGGGGGUUGGAAAGUUUCGGCGGUUGGGGAUGGACUCGCGGCUUAUCAGCUUGUUGGUGGGGUAGUGGCUUACCAAGGCUUUGACGGGUAGCCGGCCUGAGAGGGUGACCGGCCACAUUGGGACUGAGAUACGGCCCAGACUCCUACGGGAGGCAGCAGUGGGGAAUAUUGCACAAUGGGCGGAAGCCUGAUGCAGCAACGCCGCGUGCGGGAUGACGGCCUUCGGGUUGUAAACCGCUUUCGCCUGUGACGAAGCGUGAGUGACGGUAAUGGGUAAAGAAGCACCGGCUAACUACGUG